AGAGUUUGAUCCUGGCUCAGGACGAACGCUGGCGGCGUGCCUAAUACAUGCAAGUAGAACGCUGAAGACUUUAGCUUGCUAAAGUUGGAAGAGUUGCGAACGGGUGAGUAACGCGUAGGUAACCUGCCUACUAGCGGGGGAUAACUAUUGGAAACGAUAGCUAAUACCGCAUAACAGCAUUUAACACAUGUUAGAUGCUUGAAAGGAGCAAUUGCUUCACUAGUAGAUGGACCUGCGUUGUAUUAGCUAGUUGGUGAGGUAACGGCUCACCAAGGCGACGAUACAUAGCCGACCUGAGAGGGUGAUCGGCCACACUGGGACUGAGACACGGCCCAGACUCCUACGGGAGGCAGCAGUAGGGAAUCUUCGGCAAUGGGGGCAACCUGACCGAGCAACGCCGCGUGAGUGAAGAAGGUUUUCGGAUCGUAAAGCUCUGUUGUAAGAGAAGAACGUGUGUGAGAGUGGAAAGUUCACACAGUGACGGUAACCUUACCAGAAAGGGACGGCUAACUACGUGCCAGCAGCCGCGGUAAU
rnacentral:rRNA from 1 species